UGGAGACAAUAAAAUCGAAGGUGAAUGCAUUGAAGAAUAAAAAGAAGAAAUCAUCAAAGAAACCAUACAUGAAAAUGGACAAAAGUGCCAGUGUUAAGGUGGAAAUUCGCAGUAGGAAGACUCGCCAACUUAUUGAUAAGACGCUAAAUGGCAAAAGCCGCUGAUCGCCCUGCCAAGUUUAUAGUUUACAUGCAACACCAAGUAUUAAAGUUGGGGAGUGUUCAAGUUCAAGCAGACAACCAGUCUUGUGAUAAUUUCGUAUUUGUGGUACUCUAUAUUUAAGAAAUUGGGUUUGAAGAAGUUUAACAUUGUGGAUUUGUGGUAAAGAUAAGAUUAUAGAAGAGGUGCAGCAUGUGAAAGUAAUUAUCUAGUUUAAUGUGUAUAUAAAAGAUUAGCUUCUAUGGACUAUGGUAUUUUUUGAUGAAGUUGGUAGGAAAGGCAUUUGAAUCUUUGUUUGAUGAUUAUAGAGCUCAAGAUCAACCCUAGUUAUCCCCUGCCUGUGCUUUUCCGGCGAAAUAUGGAUGACGAUAGAGCUGAAGAUCAACCCUAGG